GCCUAAUACAUGCAAGUCGAGCGAACAGAUAAGGAGCUUGCUCCUUUGAAGUUAGCGGCGGACGGGUGAGUAACACGUGGGUAACCUACCUAUAAGACUGGGAUAACUUCGGGAAACCGGAGCUAAUACCGGAUAACAUUUAGAACCGCAUGGUUCUAAAGUGAAAGAUGGUUUUGCUAUCACUUAUAGAUGGACCCGCGCCGUAUUAGCUAGUUGGUAAGGUAACGGCUUACCAAGGCGACGAUACGUAGCCGACCUGAGAGGGUGAUCGGCCACACUGGAACUGAGACACGGUCCAGACUCCUACGGGAGGCAGCAGUAGGGAAUCUUCCGCAAUGGGCGAAAGCCUGACGGAGCAACGCCGCGUGAGUGAUGAAGGGUUUCGGCUCGUAAAACUCUGUUAUUAGGGAAGAACAAAUGUGUAAGUAACUGUGCACAUCUUGACGGUACCUAAUCAAAAAGCCACGGCUAACUACGUGCCAGCAGCCGCGGUAAUACGUAGGUGGCAAGCGUUAUCCGGAAUUAUUGGGCGUAAAGCGCGCGUAGGCGGUUUCUUAAGUCUGAUGUGAAAGCCCACGGCUCAACCGUGGAGGGUCAUUGGAAACUGGGAAACUUGAGUGCAGAAGAGGAAAGUGGAAUUCCAUGUGUAGCGGUGAAAUGCGCAGAGAUAUGGAGGAACACCAGUGGCGAAGGCGACUUUCUGGUCUGUAACUGACGCUGAUGUGCGAAAGCGUGGGGAUCAAACAGGAUUAGAUACCCUGGUAGUCCACGCCGUAAACGAUGAGUGCUAAGUGUUAGGGGGUUUCCGCCCCUUAGUGCUGCAGCUAACGCAUUAAGCACUCCGCCUGGGGAGUACGACCGCAUGGUUGAAACUCAAAGGGAUUGACGGGGACCCGCACAAGCGGUGGAGCAUGUGGUUUAAUUCGAAGCAACGCGCAGAAC
rnacentral:rRNA from 1 species